GUGAGUUGAAAUCCAGGAGGAUCUGGCUGAAACCCCUCAGCCUCAUCUGGUCCAGCCCUUCUCCUCUGUGAUUACCUCCCUGCACCCCCCAACAUCUUUGUGAGCCCAGAGAAAAUGGAGUAUCUCAUUGGAGACACUGUCUCCUUCCGAUGUGUGGCUCCCCCUUCAAAGGACAAGAUACAGGGCUUUCAGUUCUCAGGAACAACUGGAUGGGCCGUGGACAUUCGGACCUUCAGGAAAGCCUACACCUACACCUUCAACAUCACAGGACCGAAGGACGGUGGGUCACAUACAUGCAGAUACACUAUAAUAGAUCGGCUCCUUAGACCAGUCCGGUCUAAGGAAAGCAAAGUGAUCAUCAUCAGUGUCAAAGACCCUCCACCCCAUCCCACACUUUCUUUGAACACUUCCAGUGGAGUUGUGAGUGAGGGCUACCCCCUCCUCUUCAUCUGCACGGCUCCUGGAAACACAGUGGAGCAUAGGUUUCACUUCUACAAAGAAGGAGCUGAGGUCAUCCCUGGAUCUGAGGUCAACUCAUCAGAGACGAGUGCUCAACUCUGCAUCCCACAGAGCAGUCAAAAUCACACGGGGAAUUUUACUUGUGCCUAUGAGGAGAAAGUGGAGGGACGGUGGAUCCUGUCCUUUGCGAGCAGUGUUGUGACUGUCUUUGUGAAAGAGCCUCCUUUUGCUCCUGAACUGGGAGUGGAUCCUUCCUCUGCUGUGGUGACUGAAGGCUACCCCUUACGUUUCACCUGCAUUGCCUUCACGGAUGACUCAAGGCUGAGAUUUCACUUCUACAGGGAUGGGGUUGAGAUCCCACCAGGACAGGCAGGCUCAGAGACCACUGCCAUGAACCCUGGGAAUUUCACUGAGCUCCUGUUCCCGCAUACUCCAAGGAGGUUCAGUGGGAAAUUCACUUGUGGAUUUGAGGAGGAUGUGGGCGGGACGUGGGUGCUAUCACCCCAGAGUAAGGUUCUGGAGGUCACUGUGAAAGAUACCCCUGCUCAGCCAGAUCUGAUCUUGAACCCCCCAUCUGGAGAAGUGAGGGAAGGGGAGCCCUUACUUAUCACUUGUGUAGCCUACGGCACUAGUGGCGAAUGGAAGUUUUACUUCUAUAAAGACGGGACUGAACAAUUCUCAGAGGCUUGCACAAGGAACCGCUCUUUCUUCAGCAUCCCAGCAGCUGAACCAACUGUGACAGGGCAAUUCACCUGCAGGUACGAGGAGAGAGUCAGUGGCAAGUGGAUCCCAUCACCCUUGAGCCAGGCAAUGAUGGUCACCAUGCAAGCUUCGUCUCUACACAUCCCAUUGGUGACUGGAUGUGCAGCUGCUGCAGCUGCUCUGGUCCUGGUGUUGCUGCUGGCUGCCUAUAUCUGCCAGAGGAGGAGAGGCCAUGUUCACUGGAAGGGGCUCCACAACAAAGAUGACACAAGCGCUUAUCCUCUGGCCCUGGUCAGUUAAACUGGUAUUUCAUCUCAGGACUGCUUGGCCCAUGUCUUUGCUCAAAAAAUGCACUCAUUUUCAGCCUUUUCUCCACCUCAGUGAACCAAAAAGGAAGACAACAAAAGUAAAGAAAAGGAUUGUUUCUAUUCUUCUUCGCUUUGAACGUUCAAGCCAGAGUUCACUUUGUUAAUGCCCCUGUCCAGCUGGUCAGUAAAUCUCUCUUCAAGUCCACCAAUGUUUCUUUCUCUCAUUCUCUUCCGUCAUCUUUCUGAGCCUGAUAGAAAUGGGGAAGUUGGUCCCAGGGCACACAAAAAGGUUGGUCUUG
ensembl:lncRNA